UUGAACGCUGGCGGCAGGCCUAACACAUGCAAGUCGAACGGUAACAGGAAGCAGCUUGCUGUUUCGCUGACGAGUGGCGGACGGGUGAGUAAUGUCUGGGAAACUGCCUGAUGGAGGGGGAUAACUACUGGAAACGGUAGCUAAUACCGCAUAACGUCGCAAGACCAAAGAGGGGGACCUUCGGGCCUCUUGCCAUCGGAUGUGCCCAGAUGGGAUUAGCUAGUAGGUGGGGUAACGGCUCACCUAGGCGACGAUCCCUAGCUGGUCUGAGAGGAUGACCAGCCACACUGGAACUGAGACACGGUCCAGACUCCUACGGGAGGCAGCAGUGGGGAAUAUUGCACAAUGGGCGCAAGCCUGAUGCAGCCAUGCCGCGUGUAUGAAGAAGGCCUUCGGGUUGUAAAGUACUUUCAGCGGGGAGGAAGGGAGUAAAGUUAAUACCUUUGCUCAUUGACGUUACCCGCAGAAGAAGCACCGGCUAACUCCGUGCCAGCAGCCGCGGUAAUACGGAGGGUGCAAGCGUUAAUCGGAAUUACUGGGCGUAAAGCGCACGCAGGCGGUUUGUUAAGUCAGAUGUGAAAUCCCCGGGCUCAACCUGGGAACUGCAUUUGAUACUGGCAAGCUUGAGUCUCGUAGAGGGGGGUAGAAUUCCAGGUGUAGCGGUGAAAUGCGUAGAGAUCUGGAGGAAUACCGGUGGCGAAGGCGGCCCCCUGGACGAAGACUGACGCUCAGGUGCGAAAGCGUGGGGAGCAAACAGGAUUAGAUACCCUGGUAGUCCACGCCGUAAACGAUGUCGACUUGGAGGUUGUGCCCUUGAGGCGUGGCUUCCGGAGCUAACGCGUUAAGUCGACCGCCUGGGGAGUACGGCCGCAAGGUUAAAACUCAAAUGAAUUGACGGGGGCCCGCACAAGCGGUGGAGCAUGUGGUUUAAUUCGAUGCAACGCGAAGAACCUUACCUGGUCUUGACAUCCACGGAAGUUUUCAGAGAUGAGAAUGUGCCUUCGGGAACCGUGAGACAGGUGCUGCAUGGCUGUCGUCAGCUCGUGUUGUGAAAUGUUGGGUUAAGUCCCGCAACGAGCGCAACCCUUAUCCUUUGUUGCCAGCGGUCCGGCCGGGAACUCAAAGGAGACUGCCAGUGAUAAACUGGAGGAAGGUGAGGAUGACGUCAAGUCAUCAUGGCCCUUACGACCAGGGCUACACACGUGCUACAAUGGCGCAUACAAAGAGAAGCGACCUCGCGAGAGCAAGCGGACCUCAUAAAGUGCGUCGUAGUCCGGAUUGGAGUCUGCAACUCGACUCCAUGAAGUCGGAAUCGCUAGUAAUCGUGGAUCAGAAUGCCACGGUGAAUACGUUCCCGGGCCUUGUACACACCGCCCGUCACACCAUGGGAGUGGGUUGCAAAAGAAGUAGGUAGCUUAACCUUCGGGAGGGCGCUUACCACUUUGUGAUUCAUGACUGGGGUG
rnacentral:rRNA from 1 species